rnacentral:rRNA from 1 species
GAUCAGCCACACUGGAACUGAAACACGGUCCAGACUCCUACGGGAGGCAGCAGUGAGGAAUUUUGCGCAAUGGGGGAAACCCUGACGCAGCAACGCCGCGUGAGUGAAGAAGGCCCUCGGGUCGUAAAGCUCUGUCAAGUGGGAAAAAACGCUCUUGAUUAAUAGUCAAGAGAAUUGAUGGUACCACUGGAGGAAGCACCGGCUAACUCCGUGCCAGCAGCCGCGGUAAUACGGAGGGUGCAAGCGUUGUUCGGAAUUACUGGGCGUAAAGAGCGUGUAGGCGGUAUGGUAAGUCAGAUGUGAAAGCCCUGGGCUCAACCCAGGAAGUGCAUUUGAUACUGCCAUUCUUGAGUAUGGGAGAGGAGAGUGGAAUUCUCAGUGUAGAGGUGAAAUUCGUAGAUAUUGGGAGGAACACCCGUGGCGAAGGCGACUCUCUGGACCAAUACUGACGCUGAGACGCGAAAGCGUGGGGAGCAAACAGGAUUAGAUACCCUGGUAGUCCACGCCGUAAACGAUGAGAACUAGGUGUAGCGGGUAUUGACCCCUGCUGUGCCGAAGUUAACGCAUUAAGUUCUCCGCCUGGGGAGUACGGCCGCAAGGCUAAAACUCAAAGGAAUUGACGGGGACCCGCACAAGCGGUGGAGCAUGUGGUUUAAUUCGACGCAACGCGAAGAACCUUACCUGGAUUUGACAUCCUCUGACAGCCCCGGAAACGGGGUCUUUCCGACUUGUCGGAACAGAGUGACAGGUGCUGCAUGGCUGUCGUCAGCUCGUGUCGUGAGAUGUUGGGUUAAGUCCCGCAACGAGCGCAACCCUUGUUUUUAGUUGCCAGUAUUAAGUUAGGCACUCUAGAGAUACUGCCUCGGUUAACGGGGAGGAAGGUGGGGAUGACGUCAAGUCCUCAUGGCCUUUAUAUCCAGGGCUACACACGUGCUACAAUGGACUGUACAAAGGGUCGCAACUCCGCGAGGGGAAGCUAAUCUCAAAAAGUAGUUCUCAGUUCGGAUUGGAGUCUGCAACUCGACUCCAUGAAGGUGGAAUCGCUAGUAAUCGUGGAUCAGCAUGCCACGGUGAAUACGUUCCCGGGUCUUGUACACACCGCCCGUCACACCACGAAAGUUGGCUGUACCAGAAGUUGCUGGGCUAACCCCCGAUUUAUCGGGGGGGCAGGUACCUAAGGUACGGUUGGUAAUUGGGGUGAAGUCGUAACAAGGUA